rnacentral:rRNA from 1 species
GACAAUGGGCGCAAGCCUGAUCCAGCCAUGCCGCGUGCAGGAAGACGGUCCUAUGGAUUGUAAACUGCUUUUGUACAGGAAGAAACACUCCCUCGUGAGGGAGCUUGACGGUACUGUAAGAAUAAGGAUCGGCUAACUCCGUGCCAGCAGCCGCGGUAAUACGGAGGAUCCAAGCGUUAUCCGGAAUCAUUGGGUUUAAAGGGUCCGUAGGCGGCUUUAUAAGUCAGUGGUGAAAGCCCAUCGCUCAACGAUGGAACGGCCAUUGAUACUGUAGAGCUUGAAUUAUUAGGAAGUAACUAGAAUAUGUAGUGUAGCGGUGAAAUGCUUAGAGAUUACAUGGAAUACCAAUUGCGAAGGCAGGUUACUACUAAUGGAUUGACGCUGAUGGACGAAAGCGUGGGGAGCGAACAGGAUUAGAUACCCUGGUAGUCCACGCCGUAAACGAUGGAUACUAGCUGUUGGGGGCAACUUCAGUGGCUAAGCGAAAGUGAUAAGUAUCCCACCUGGGGAGUACGUUC